CUGGUCUUCUGAAGUUGUUGAUAACCUGUACAGUAUCAUGAAGUUCCUGUGUUUGUUGGUGUUAUUCUGUGUUCUCGGUGAACGUGUUAACGGUGUUAUUGAGUAUAAAAUGAAUAUAAACCUUGAUUUAGACAGUGGUGACUGUGAUGGAGCCUUGCAACUCAUCAGUGGAGUCACAGUACCCUCGCCUGCUGCAUGUGGAUGCGAUUGGGUUUCUUGUACUGUAGGACAGGGAACUUGUGCACCUUGCUGUGUUCUUUGUGGCACCUGUUAGGAAAAGACAUUGAAGUGAAUAUAUCAGCGGGUAUUUGGUGACGUCAAUGUACAUAAUCGAUCAUGAAUAGUCGGAGUCCAGUAGCUUUCACACUUAAAUUAUAUAUUGAAUAAAUCAAACUACAAACAAAUCAAA